GACGAACGCUGGCGGCGUGCCUAAUACAUGCAAGUCGAGCGAGCGGCGCACGGGUGCGUAAUGUAUGGGGACUGCCCGAUAGAGGGGGAUAACUACUGGAAACGGUGGCUAAUACCGCAUACUAUCGGAUAACCCAUAUGGGAUUAGCUAGUAGGUGGGGUAACGGCUCACCUAGGCGACGAUCUCUAGCUGGUCUGAGAGGAUGAUCAGCCACACUGGGACUGAGACACGGCCCAGACUCCUACGCAGGCAGCAGUGUGGAAUAUUGCACAAUGGGGGCAAGCCGUAUACAGCCAUGCCGCGUGUAUGAAGAAGGCCUUAGGGUUGUAAAGUACUUUCAGCGGGGAGGCGUUACCCGCAGAAGAAGCACCGGCUAACUCCGUGCCAGCAGCCGCGGUAAUAC
rnacentral:rRNA from 1 species